rnacentral:rRNA from 1 species
GACGAACGCUGGCGGCGUGCUUAACACAUGCAAGUCGAACGGAAAGGCCCUGCUUUUGUGGGGUGCUCGAGUGGCGAACGGGUGAGUAACACGUGAGUAACCUGCCCUUGACUUUGGGAUAACUUCAGGAAACUGGGGCUAAUAUCGGAUAGGAGCUCCUGCUGCAUGGUGGGGGUUGGAAAGUUUCGGCGGUUGGGGAUGGACUCGCGGCUUAUCAGCUUGUUGGUGGGGUAGUGGCUUACCAAGGCUUUGACGGGUAGCCCGCAUGAGAGGGUGACCGGCCACAUUGGGACUGAGAGAGGGCCCAGACGCCUACGGGAGGCAGCAGUGGGGAAUCUUGCACAGUGGGGGGAAGCCUGAUGCAGCAGCGCCGCGUGCGGAAUGACGGCCUUCGGGUUAUAAACCGCUUUCGCCUGUGACGAAGCGUGAGUGACGGUAAUGGGUAAAGAAGCACCGGCUAACUACGUG